GACGAACGCUGGCGGCGUGCUUAACACAUGCAAGUCGAACGGAAAGGCCCUGCUUUUGUGGGGUGCUCGAGUGGCGAACGGGUGAGUAACACGUGAGUAACCUGCCCUUGACUUUGGGAUAACUUCAGGAAACUGGGGCUAAUACCGGAUAGGAGCUCCUGCUGCAUGGGGGGGGUUGGAAAGUUUCGGCGGUUGGGGAUGGACUCGGGGCUUAUCAGCUUGUUGGUGGGGUAGUGGCUUACCAAGGCUUUGACGGGUAGCCGGCCUGAGAGGGUGACCGGCGACAUUGGGACUGAGAUACGGCCCAGACUCCGACGGGAGGCAGCAGUGGGGAAUAUUGCACCAUGGGUGGAGGCCGGAUGCAGCAACGCCGCGUGCUGGAUGACGGCCUUCGGGUUGUAAACCGCGUUCGCCUGUGACGAAGCGUGAGUGACGGUAAUGGGUAAAGAAGCACCGGCUAACUACGUG
rnacentral:rRNA from 1 species